UGCAUCAGACACAAAGCAUUAUACAAACAGGCCACUUAAAUAGCGGCAAUGUCUAUAAUCAUCCAGAAACACUUCAUCAGUAGUACUGAGCAAAUGCACUUUCACACACAGUAGACUUACAGGUUUUAGUCAAACCACAAAAAAAAAAAAAAACUCUAGUUUGCCAUGUUUAUUACAUCCAUAUCCUGUGGAUAAAACAAGGCAGUGUUUCGGUAAGGUUUUCAUACCCUUUCAUUUUCACAACAGCAUGUAAUGACCUAAGGGGUCUAGCUUGAGCCCACCAGAAUGUUCUUCAUUCAAGAACAAAAAAAAUAAUUUUUUUGUAAUAGAUUUAAAAAAAAAAUAUAUAUAUAUAGAUGCCUAAUGCAACCAUGUGGGUGUCUCCAAAGAGCACAACAUAUUUAAAAUGGCUUUCACACCGUCCCCAAAAUGAGCAAUAAUGCCCUCUAGUGAAGUUAAAUGGAUGUACGGUGAUCAAAGCUCUCUGUCCUGUUUAGUUGGUAUGUCUGAGGCACACCAGGCGUCUGUGGGAAGUUUGCUGUGAAUGGCCCAUGGGGAGGGCCCAUGGAGAAUGUGUUGCUUGUGGAGAGGCUGCAUUCCUCUGACAUUUACUGCUAAUUAAAAGCUGAUGGGCCAAAGUCUGAACUUAAGUUAUGCAUGGCUCCUGGGCCAUGUGUCUGAUAUGCCUUUAGAAGCAGUGCAUCACACAAGAAAAGGAAAAAAAUAUCAGAUUUUUUUUUUUUUUAGGAUGAAAUUAGUAAUCACUUAGAGGUUAUUUUCUUUGAUGUCAACAUAGAUAACAAUGAGCACAAUCCUUCUAGAGGUCUCCUGUUUCCCACCACGAUGAGCCAUUAUUAGUCAUUUCCUUCAAAAAAUUAACUAAAGCAUUAAACAUGUAAAGGAACUGCCUGUGUCUUACCACAAGAAUGCCAGGCCUGACUUCCUAAAAGACAUUUCCCUGUGCUAUGUUCUUUAUAGAUGCGCAACCAAACUCAUGCCAAGACCCAAAGGCUUAAUUCAGGCAACUCUAAUCGCUUCAGUGUGUGUCUACUGUUAAAACCAGGACUUGCUCUAGAAGAGCUUCUCAAAUAUUAGAUCCAGAGUAGGAUGGUAAGGCUUGGUGAGUUUAAAGAUAGAGUGGGUGGUCCCUGACUAAUCCAACUCCGUCAUGAACAUGCCUCUGUUUGUUACAACUUAAUAAAAAUUGUUCGAAAUGCAGCUCUACUGGAGAACCAGCAGAUUGUAAUGUCACUCAAUGUGUGCCAUCUUGGACAAAAGAAGCCUUAAAGGAGAGACUUAAAGUAGCCACCGAAAACAAUGUCUGUUUUUUAUUGGGAAGUGAAAGCAAGGAUUGCCGGGUUCAGAGCAAGGCCAUCACAGCAUUGAGAAAUGAAAGGGAUUAAGAUGUCCCAGAGGCCUAAUGCAAGAGGCCAGGGGGCCUAACACAUGAUCCUGUGUCCCAAAAAAGCCUUGAAGUUCUUCUCUAAAUAAUUAGCAACUUUUCAGUUUUAAAUAACAUUUCAGUUUCAAAUAACAGAGUCAAGAUGACUUUAGGUAAAGGAGCAUUCUCAGCAUUCCAGACCCAAAGUUUCUAACAUUUCACCAACUUUUAGAAAUUGAGGUACGUCAUAGUUUUCACUGUGUAUUUUCUCUUCCUGAUUAGUUUCUCCAUAUCCAGAACGUUAGUUUGUAAAUCUGUAUUAGAAGUGCAUAAGGACACAAAUUCAUGGCUCAAACAUUUAAGGCCCCAUACCAAAAAUUAAAACAACAGCCCAGUGAGCAUCAUUUACUUUAUUUACUGUAGCUACAAUAGCUAACUUUACUAUAAACACCAAGUGCCUUGUGAAUAUGUAUUGCCUUUUGCUUCUUUCUUAGAGAGACCUUAGAGUAUUUGUGGAAGCUUCAAGCCAAUUUUUCAGCCUUCCUGGUCUGGCAUUUACGUGAGUACCUUACUGCUGCACAGAGUAUGCUUCACCAGGCACUGGACUCCACAAAUGUCAGUAAGGUUCCUGGUGGCUAGGCUGGCAGCAUCGUUUGGCAUUAGGCUGACUUUCCUUCAUACUGCGUCUGACCGCUCACCUCCCAACCUCUGCCUCAAUAUGGAAGGUCCUCCUCAUACACUAAGGUAUAGCUCAGGAUAAGCAGGGUAAUGUGUAUACACCAUACCUGCAUGUUUUCAAAGGUAUGGAUUGUUGGCAUCCUGCAAUGUGAGGAGUUGUUCAUGGACCAGGCAGUUCAUUCCUUCCUCACUGGACCUCACACUCUUCAGACACUGAGCACCCGUACUGCUGUGCAGGACUAUUUGUUUUUCCUCUGCUAUGGUGUACGACUUAACACACCACGUGCUGGGGCAGCAGGUAUUCUACCAUCAGCAGUGCACUCUAGGGUAUCUUGGGGAGGGUUGACCUCUUCAGGUCCGGCUAGGAAUUAAAUGCGUUUCCUGGGUUCUUCUCUUAAUGUUAAUUUUCUAUUCUCGUUUGCUUUUAUUUCCCCACUAAAUAUAAACUAAAGGACCUAAACAAAGCUGAAUGAUCAUGAGGUGGCUAAAUGAUCCGUGCGAACCCAAUAUGAAUUUGUAUCCAAGUCAUAUGCAUAAAGCCAUAGUAUCCCUGACACAUUUCCAUAGACCUGCAGAUUCUUUACUUACAGUCUCUCAGUCAGGGUCAAUCCCAUUUCACUUCCAGUAAUUCAGUGGCUGAAUAUGAAAUUGAAUUGGAGCUGGACCCAAGCCCAUUGAGUAAAUAGGGGAAAUGCACAACCUCCUCUCACAGUCCUACAGGCACAGCAACACU